rnacentral:rRNA from 1 species
GAUGAACGCUGGCGGCGUGCCUAAUACAUGCAAGUCGAACGAAGAUCUAGCUUGCUAGAUCUUAGUGGCGAACGGGUGAGUAAUACAUAAAUAAUCUGCCCAUAUGACUGGGAUAACUAUUGGAAACGAUAGCUAAUACCGGAUAGGUUGAUUGGAGGCAUCUCUGAUUAAUUAAAGUAGGAUUUCUACACAAAUGGAUGAGUUUAUGGCGCAUUAGUUAGUUGGUGGGGUAACGGCCUACCAAGACGAUGAUGCGUAGCCGACCUGAGAGGGUGACCGGCCACACUGGGACUGAGACACGGCCCAGACUCCUACGGGAGGCAGCAGUAGGGAAUUUUCGGCAAUGGGCGCAAGCCUGACCGAGCAACGCCGCGUGAGUGAUUAAGGCCUUCGGGUUGUAAAGCUCUGUUGUAAGGGAAGAACAUUCAGGAUAGGAAAUGAUCUUGAACUGACGGUACCUUACCAGAAAGCCACGGCUAACUACGUGCCAGCCGCCGCCGUAAUAC